AACUCUGUGGUGUAGUGGUAACACGCUUCUCCGGUAUAUAUGUAGAGCGGGUUCGAUUCCCGUCUGAGAUG